CAGCUCCUGGCCGACCCUCUGUACGACAGCAUUGAGGAGACCCUGCCCCCUCGACCUGACCACAUAUACGAUGAGCCCGAGGGAGUGGCUGCCCUGUCCCUCUAUGACAGCCCGCAGGAGCCCCGGGGUGAGGCAUGGAGGAGGCAGGCGACAGCUGACAGGGACCCUGCUGGCCUCCAGCAUGUCCAGCCAGCCGGGCAGGAUUUCUCUGCUUCUGGCUGGCAGCCAGGAACUGAGUAUGACAAUGUUGUACUAAAGAAAGGCCCAAAGUGACAGAGGCAGCAGAGGGAUGGUCCACCGCCCCUUGGCUUCUGCUGGUGACUCCUCCUGGCCACUGCAUCAGAAGAACCUCCUCUGCCCCUUCUGGAGCCCGAGGCCUGGCCUGUCUUCGUUGGGGCUGAUAAAUUGCCUCUCCCAGGGCCUGCUGGCUGAGGAGGAACCUGGGGCAUUUAGGGCAGAGGACAAAAGGAUGUCAGCAAUUGCUUGGGCUGCUUGGCUAUGCAAGCCUCCUGCCUGCUGAUGGCCACUUCAGGGACAGCCUGGGCCCAGGCACCCAGGGGGAUGGCGGCAGCUUCCUGCACCUUUCAGAUUUCUUGGUGGCAUUAAAGCAUUUUCAGAA
rnacentral:lncRNA from 1 species